GUGACCAGCCAGUCCCUGAGAACUUUCCCCUCCAGCACCAGGGAAAAUGGGAUUUUUGCUCCUUGUGAUUUUCGCUGUAACAGCUUUGGAAGGUGUCCGGUCCCAGGCGCUGGUGGAGUCCGGAGGGGAUGU